GUGUCAGCCGCCGCGGUAAUACAGAGGGCGCAAGCGUUGUUCGGAAUCAUUGGGCGUAAAGCGGGUGUAGGCGGCUUGGCAAGUCGGGUGUGAAAUCCCUGGGCUCAACCCAGGAACUGCACUCGAAACUGCCUCGCUAGAGUCCCGGAGAGGGUGGCGGAAUUCCCGGUGUAGAGGUGAAAUUCGUAGAUAUCGGGAGGAACACCAGUGGCGAAGGCGGCCACCUGGACGGUGACUGACGCUCAGACCCGAAAGCGUGGGUAGCAAACAGGAUUAGAAACCCUGGUAGUCC
rnacentral:rRNA from 1 species